AGAGUUUGAUCCUGGCUCAGAAUCAGCGCUGGCGGCGCGCUUAACACAUGCAAGUCGAACGAGAAAGUGGAGCAAUCCAUGAGUAAAGUGGCGCACGGGUGAGUAACACGUGGGUAAUCUACCCUCUGGUGGGGAAUAACUCUGGGAAACCGGAGCUAAUACCGCAUAAGACCGGGAGGUGAAAGGUCGAAAGAUCGCCGGAGGAGGAGCCCGCGGCUGAUUAGCUAGUUGGUAGGGUAAGAGCCUACCAAGGCUGAGAUCGGUAGCCGGCCUGAGAGGGCACACGGCCACACUGGCACUGAAACACGGGCCAGACUCCUACGGGAGGCAGCAGUGGGGAAUCUUGCACAAUGGAGGAAACUCUGAUGCAGCGACGCCGCGUGAGUGAUGAAGCCCUUCGGGGUGUAAAGCUCUUUCGACCCGGAAGAUAAUGACGGUACGGGGAGAAGAAGCUGCGGCUAACUACGUGCCAGCAGCCGCGGUAAUACGUAGGCAGCGAGCGUUGUUCGGAGUUACUGGGCGUAAAGCGUGCGUAGGCGGUGUCUUAAGUUUGUUGUGAAAUCUCCCGGCUUAACCGGGAGGGUGCGGCGAAUACUGAGAUGCUGGAGUGCCGGAGAGGUAAGCGGAAUUCCUGGUGUAGCGGUGAAAUGCGUAGAUAUCAGGAGGAACACCUGCGGUGUAGACGGCUUACUGGACGGUAACUGACGCUGAGGCACGAAAGCGUGGGUAGCAAACAGGAUUAGAUACCCUGCAGUCCACGCCCUAAACG
rnacentral:rRNA from 1 species